rnacentral:tRNA from 2 species
GGCCCCUUAGCUCAGUGGUCAGAGCUGGCGGCUCAUAACCGCUUGGUCGUAGGUUCGAACCCUACAGGGGCCACCA